rnacentral:rRNA from 1 species
CCUACGGGGCGCAGCAGUGGGGAAUAUUGCACAAUGGGCGCAAGCCUGAUGCAGCCAUGCCGCGUGUGUGAAGAAGGCCUUCGGGUUGUAAAGCACUUUCAGCGGGGAGGAAGGCGGUGAGGCUAAUAACCUCAUCGAUUGACGUUACCCGCAGAAGAAGCACCGGCUAACUCCGUGCCAGCAGCCGCGGUAAUACGGAGGGUGCAAGCGUUAAUCGGAAUUACUGGGCGUAAAGCGCACGCAGGCGGUUUGUUAAGUCAGAUGUGAAAGCCCCGGGCUCAACCUGGGAACUGGAUUCGAAACUGGCAGGCUGGAGUCUUGUAGAGGGGGGUAGAAUUCCAGGUGUAGCGGUGAAAUGCGUAGAGAUCUGGAGGAAUACCGGUGGCGAAGGCGGCCCCCUGGACAAAGACUGACGCUCAGGUGCGAAAGCGUGGGGAGCAAACAGGAUUAGAUACCCGGGUAGUC